rnacentral:rRNA from 1 species
UCCAGACUCCUACGGGAGGCAGCAGUGGGGAAUAUUGCACAAUGGGGGAAACCCUGAUGCAGCGACGCCGCGUGAGUGAAGAAGUAUUUCGGUAUGUAAAGCUCUAUCAGCAGGGAAGAAGAAAGACGGUACCUGACUAAGAAGCCCCGGCUAACUACGUGCCAGCAGCCGCGGUAAUACGUAGGGGGCAAGCGUUAUCCGGAUUUACUGGGUGUAAAGGGAGCGUAGACGGCAUGGCAAGUCUGAAGUGAAAGCCCGGGGCUCAACCGCGGGACUGCUUUGGAAACUGUUAAGCUGGAGUGCAGGAGAGGUAAGUGGAAUUCCUAGUGUAGCGGUGAAAUGCGUAGAUAUUAGGAGGAACACCAGUGGCGAAGGCGGCUUACUGGACUGUAACUGACGUUGAGGCUCGAAAGCGUGGGGAGCAAACAGGAUUAGAUACCCCGGUAAA